rnacentral:rRNA from 1 species
AGUGAACGCUGGCGGCAGGCCUAACACAUGCAAGUCGAACGGCAGCACAGCAGUAGCAAUACUGUGGGUGGCGAGUGGCGGACGGGUGAGGAAUACAUCGGAAUCUACCUUGUCGUGGGGGAUAACGUAGGGAAACUUACGCUAAUACCGCAUACGAACUAUGGUUGAAAGCGGCGGACCGCAAGGCGUCGCGCGAUUGGAUGAGCCGAUGUCCGAUUAGCUAGUUGGCGGGGUAAAGGCCCACCAAGGCGACGAUCGGUAGCUGGUCUGAGAGGAUGAUCAGCCACACUGGAACUGAGACACGGUCCAGACUCCUACGGGAGGCAGCAGUGGGGGAAUAUUGGACAAUGGGCGCAAGCCUGAUCCAGCCAUGCCGCGUGUGUGAAGAAGG